CUUUGUUCGAGUUUUACUUGUGUUUUUGGAUAAACUAAAUUCAACGCUAAAUCAAAUAUUGUGUAUGCAAAUAAUGUACUGCACUACCUGACAGCUUUCGACAACGUCGGGUUUUUCAUCACCAACAACUGAUUGAAUGAAAUGUUUCCCGUCUGCCUGAUCUCCCACUAUGAAAAUCACUUUAUUAAUGAGACAUUAGAAAAAGAUACAGGUUAACAAAUAGCCUUUUCUGUGUUGUGUCACUCACUACACUACAGAAGUGAUCACAACCAAGUACGAAAACCAAACAGUAGUAGUCAACCUAUUCUGUAAAUCUAGACUCUGAAUUACAUGCCUUCAGCAGUGUGAAAAACUGUGAAAUUGCUUUCACACUGUGCUGUUUUUGUUUUCCUUGAUCACUAUUGAAAGCAAUGUUGCAUUAAAAGAGGUA